UCUGCACUAUAAUCGCAUGUGUCGGAAUCAUGACAAUGCUAUUUGUGCACACAUUAAAUGAUUACUUUGAUGGUGAAAUUGUUACCAACUUUGACUCAAUUGAUUUAAAUGGAAAUAAUAAGUUUCCAGGUGUUUCUAUAUGCAUUUUAAAGUUGGGUACCUUUGAAGCAAAUAACGAAACAGUGGGUGAAUUCAUUCAAAAAUAUUACGCAGAACAUAACAUGGAAGAACCGAAAGGGUAUUUCGUCCAUAACUAAAAAAUAAUUAAGAAUAAAAACUUACAUUCAGCGAUUAUUGUGAUUAUUUCAGGAAACAUUUCUACGAUGAAGUUUUAAGUUACGUAUUUGAACAUCCCAGUUCUCAAUACGUCCAUAUACCACUAGAUUCGUGUACUAAUGCAAUCAACGGCACAUGUGGCGUUGAUGUUCAAUCUAUAAAAAACCUGUUAUUUCCGAAUUGCAAUGAAUUAUUUCAAAAUAUUCGAUUCAAUGGCAGACACUUUGAAGAUUGUAACAACAUAUUCAAGAGAAUAAUAAUCUAUAAAGAGGGCAUGUGCUUCAUGGCAAACUCAAUUUAUUUUUAUGAUUUAAAUUGGAAUGCAUUGCCGCUGACUUAUGAGAGAAAAGAGGCGGACAUUUACGAAAGGAUACGGUUCACGUGUUUAUGUACAAAGUCCAGAUGAAUUUCCAAAUGACUAUACAAGCAAAACAUUUAAACUAUAUGAAAAUCACGAUCAAGAAAUUACCGUAAAAACUAUAGAAAUGGUUAACUUUGAAAACGUACGGGACGUAUCCAUUAAGAAACGAAAGUGUCGAUUUCCAGAAGAACGUUGGCCCAUCAAUGCAUCUCUUUCGUAUGGCUUUUCUUCGUGCUUAAUUUAUCUUCGAGUUCAAUUUGAAUUGAAGAAGUGCAAUUGUACGCUAACCUCUGCGCCGGAUGAAUAUGAAAGUCAAUACUGUACCUACGAUCAAAUGAAAUGCAUUAAAACCCGGCCUCCGCAUCAUUCCGCAUUAGCCUACCACAGAAAAAACAAACUAUGUCCCACUUCUUGUAGUGAAUCGCAGAUCAGUUAAGUCGGGCGCUAUAUGAAGAAAAGAACUGUAUACAACCUUUAUAUCCCCGUGGAUGAUAGCGACGCAAUAGAUGGAAAUAUAACAAUAUCCGUUCAAGUUCAAAAAUCCACCCAGCAAAUUACUCGUAAGGUUUUAU